rfam:Triticum urartu cultivar G1812 contig348831, whole genome shotgun sequence.
CUACUACUCCCUCCGUUCGGAAUUACUUGUCUUGGAAAUGGAUGUAUCUAGAACGAAAAUACGUCUAGAUACAUCCAUUUCCAAGACAAGUAAUUCCGAACAGAAGGAGUACCUC